rnacentral:rRNA from 1 species
CCUUGGCAGCUUGCUGCCGGGGUGAGAGUGGCGAACGGGUGAGUAAUGCGUGACCGACCUGCCCCAUGCACCGGAAUAGCUCCUGGAAACGGGUGGUAAUGCCGGAUGUUCCACAUGAGCGCAUGCGAGUGUGGGAAAGGCUUUUUGCGGCAUGGGAUGGGGUCGCGUCCUAUCAGCUUGUUGGUGGGGUAACGGCCUACCAAGGCGUUGACGGGUAGCCGGCCUGAGAGGGCGACCGGCCACAUUGGGACUGAGAUACGGCCCAGACUCCUACGGGAGGCAGCAGUGGGGAAUAUUGCACAAUGGGCGCAAGCCUGAUGCAGCGACGCCGCGUGCGGGAUGGAGGCCUUCGGGUUGUAAACCGCUUUUGUUCAAGGGCAAGGCACGGUUUCGGCCGUGUUGAGUGGAUUGUUCGAAUAAGCACCGGCUAACUACGUGCCAGCAGCCGCGGUAAUACGUAGGGUGCAAGCGUUAUCCGGAUUUAUUGGGCGUAAAGGGCUCGUAGGCGGUUCGUCGCGUCCGGUGUGAAAGUCCAUCGCUUAACGGUGGAUCCGCGCCGGGUACGGGCGGGCUUGAGUGCGGUAGGGGAGACUGGAAUUCCCGGUGUAACGGUGGAAUGUGUAGAUAUCGGGAAGAACACCAAUGGCGAAGGCAGGUC